UGCCUCUAUCAUCGCUAGUCAACUACCUCUAUCGUUUCCGUUCAGCUAUUUCCAUUGACUCCGGUCAUCUCUCGCCAUCUUUGUCAGUCAUCUCUCCUUGUCGAUCUUCUUCAUUUCUCUGGAAUGAAAAAAGUGGAGGCAUCAUGCAAAACACUGACAACCAAAAGAAAUGAGGUCGUCGUACUUGGACAAUUAUGGAGGAGAAGUCAUUAUUGAGCAUUUUAGAGUUAUAUGUGCUACGUGGUUAUCAUUGUGAGAAUGACACCUUUAAAUGUGGUACAUACCCAUUAGUUGAAAAAUAACUACAAGUCAAGUGUUCUAAUUCUUGAUCGAAAGCAAACCCCCACAUCGUGUUAAAAAUGAGAACAUGGAAGAAACAACACUAAAUAGUAUUUGACAUGACAAACUCGAGUGGGUUUGGUUGGAAUAAAACAUUGAAAUGCAUUGAGGUUGAUGGUAAUGAAGUAUGGAAUACAUAUGGCAGAGCCACAAAGAGGCUGAUUGAUGGAGAGGUAGACAACUUUCUAUGUAUGAAAGGUUGGGUAACAUCUUUGGAGCUGAUCAUGCAACUGGAAAAGCUGUUGAAACUCUAGUUGAUAUGGCAGAGGCAGUUGAUCUUGAAGAUAAUGAUGACCACAAUGGAAAGCAAGAAGAAUCAUCAUACUCUCUAAUAUCGCCUAAUAAACUCCUAAACGGUCGCAGUAGUAAUCGGGUUAUGUCGUAUCCACAAAGAGGUAAAAUACAAGUAAAAAGAAAGAUUAGUAAAUUAGAAAUAAUAAACCUUGAAAUAAUGUAACUUUGAAAAAAAAAAUUAAACACUAAAUAUACAAAAUUGAGGAAUUAGAAUCAGAAAGAAAAUAUGGAAGACACAAGUUUCAUUCAUGCAAACAUAUAUAUUUUAAUAAAAUUGAUUAAUUCUACUCAACUAUAAUUCUACACCAUUAAUUAUAGUUGGAAAAUAUAUAUAAUAAAACUCACAUUAAACUAUGUUCUUAAUUAAAUUAUACUAACUUCUAAUUUUAAAAACCUAUUAUAUUAUAUACCUUAGAGUGACAAAAUGCCAAUGAAAGAAUGCAGUAAAAAGCAUAUAAUAUAACAAAUAUCAUAAAUUACAUAAGAAGACCAUGACUAGAGUUAUGUAAAAGAUACUAAUAAAUUCAAAAUAAAAAUU